ACAUUUAAGAUUCAACUACACGAGAGAGCAGAACUAAGACAUGAGAGAGCAGAACUAAGACAAGGCACGACCAAUCGAUAAUUGACACCCUCAGCUCCCCUAAUAUCCAUAGUUGGUACCAUAAGCAGAAGCAUAUCCCCCACCAUUGUGAGUAGGAGGUCCAGCAUUGGCUUGAGAUGCGUAAGGAGGAGGCCCAUGUGCAUAGGAACCAUAACCCUGAUCAGGGGUCAUUGUGUUUGGCCCUGGGCCUUGUGCCGGAGGAGCAG
rnacentral:misc_RNA from 1 species